rnacentral:tRNA from 1 species
GGGGUUGUAGCUCAGUGGUAGAGCACUUGCCUAGCAUGUGUGAGGCCCUGGGUUCAAUCCCCAGCACCACA